UGGGGAAUAUUGGACAAUGGGCGAAAGCCUGAUCCAGCCAUGCCGCGUGUGUGAAGAAGGUCUUCGGAUUGUAAAGCACUUUAAGGUGGGAGGAAGGGCAUUAACCUAAUACGUUAGUGUUUUGACGUUCCCGACAGAAUAAGCACCGGCUAACUCUGUGCCAGCAGCCGCGGUAAUACAGAGGGUGCAAGCGUUAAGCGGAAUUACUGGGCGUAAAGCGCGCGUAGGUGGUUUGUUAAGUUGGAUGUGAAAUCCCCGGGCUCAACCUGGGAACUGCAUUAAAAACUGACUGACUAGAGUAUGGUAGAGGGUGGUGGAAUUUCCUGUGUAGCGGUGAAAUGCGUAGAUAUAGGAAGGAACACCAGUGGCGAAGGCGACCACCUGGACUAAUACUGACACUGAGGUGCGAAAGCGUGGGGAGCAAACA
rnacentral:rRNA from 1 species